rnacentral:rRNA from 1 species
AAUCUUGCGCAAUGGGCGAAAGCCUGACGCAGCGACGCCGCGUGGGGGAAGAAGGCCCUUGGGUCGUAAACCCCUGUCCUGGGGGACGAUGAUGACGGUACCUAAGGAGGAAGCCCCGGCUAACUACGUGCCAGCAGCCGCGGUAAUACGUAGGGGGCAAGCGUUGUCCGGAAUUAUUGGGCGUAAAGGGUGCGUAGGCGGCCUUUUAAGUCAGGUGUGAAAGCCCACGGCUUAACCGUGGGAUUGCAUUUGAAACUGGAAGGCUUGAGUAUCGGAGAGGGUAGUGGAAUUCCCAGUGUAGCGGUGGAAUGCGUAGAUAUUGGGAGGAACACCAGUGGCGAAGGCGACUACCUGGACGAAAACUGACGCUGAGGCACGAAAGCUAGGGGAGCAAAC